AAAAUACACACCGAUUUUGACCAAAUGUAAGAUGAUACACAUAAUUUACAUAGAAUUAGAUCGUAAGAUUAAGGUUGUCAAAAGUAAGAACAGAGUCAGGAUUGAAAAAUUGGAGGGUUGAAAGUCAUAAAGGUAUACUUUUAAGCGUCAAAACUGAACAAGUGCGCAUAUAUUUGAGAGCAAAUAUUAUAUUAUUUAAAUUAUUGGGGUUGAAUUAAUACCGAUUUAAAGCAUUAGAGUUUUAGGUAAACAACUAAGAUUUAAAGGUGUAAUCAUAUUAAUUCGUGAUCAAGGUCAUUCAGAAAAGUGUUUUACUGCAUGUAAUUUUAUAUAUUACCGCAUCAUAACGUAUUACAUUUAAGAUGAUGUAUGUAAUGUGCAUGACUUAUUUUGUAGGUUCUAGAAAAACGAAAAUGAACUUAUAAAUUAAGAAAUAAUUCAGUAUAGGCUUUGGAAAUUUUCUUUGACAAGUUAUCAGAAUUUUCGUUUUUUUUUUUUUUGGUUUUUGGGUUGUAAUAAGGACAAAGACACACCUGUCACAUUAAUUGGCCAUUUGGGUUGCUUUCUCUUACUGUUAAGUCUGUUAAUUUAUGGUUAGAGCAGUUAGUUGUAAUAAUUUUAUUGGAUUAUAUAUGUAAUUAAAAAUAAAUUUCAAAGAAAAAAAGAGACAGAGAGAAAUUGGGGAAGGUUAGCCUGGAAAGAGAUCUUGAUUUAAAAACCCCACCAAACAUUAAAGAAAAAGUCAAUGUAAUUGACUUUAAAUGAAUCAAAUCCCAUACUCAUUAAAUUAGUAAUUAAAAAAUGAGAUUAGAAAAGGUUAUCUUAAUCAAGGUGACAUGUGAGUCUGUGACCGCAGCCUCUUACACCUUCUAUUCUGUGUCUCAAUGCCAGCCAACUGUCGCAACCCAUGAAACAAUGCCUUGGUAGUCCAUAAAUUAAAAUCUCUAUGAGUUAGAUUAUUAUACAACAUCAUACAAUACACUACUAUAAUUUUCUUUUCUUUUUCUUAUAUAUAUUCUAAUUAUUUAGAAAUUAUAAUACUACAAUGUAAUAUCUAACUUCAAGAUUUGAAUUUGAGUGACCAAUUAAAUAAAACUACUCAAAAUGUACUCUGUCAAACGCUCUAGGGACAAGUAACUAUGAUAACACGACCACUAAUUUUUUAUUAUUUAUGUAACAUUUUGUUAUAAUCUAUGAUACAAUUCAAUUUCGUAGAACUUUCUAUUGUACAAUUCUCAAUUUUUUCGGUUAAAAUAUAAACCUUUUCGCAGUUUAUGGAGGCGCACGGAUGUAACGAUGCAGCUGCAACUGCACCAUAGCACAGCCCGGGUUGUAUUUGGAAGAAAGUAUGAAUUUGCAUUUUUUAAUUUAAGGAAGGAGAGAUUAAGAUUUAAGUUUUGCCAAUGAAGGAAAAAAAGAAAGGGGUUUUAAAUAGGUUCAAAAGAUAGCCAAUGAUGGCGAUACUCUGAAAUUUGGGAUUAUAAUAUUUUCCAAAUUGCCAUGAAUUAUGGGUAAAGUUUUGAUAUGACAUCAUGGUGUGUUGAUCUUAUCUUAUGGCUCAAAUUGAGAGGGAGAUUCGAUCACUUUGUAGUUCCAGCCCCACUAAAUUAAAAACUAAGAAAAGAACCAUCAUUUUUUUGUCUGAUUACCACUUUUAAAAUUUAUUUCAAAUUAAUCGGUACCCUUUCGAAAGGCCAUUUAUUGAAAAACUAUUAUAUUAUUUCAUUCUCAAAUUUGCACUUUAAUUUGACUAAUCAAUUAAUUGGCUAGAUUAUUAACGUGGGAUCCUACAAGUUACAACUUCAUAGCCUCUUAACAAGUUGUAACGUAAAUAAAGGUUUGAGAUAUAUCGACUAAUUGCAAAAUAAUGCAAUGAUUGUUAUCUCAUAAAAUUAAAAUAUGCCGUCAAUAGCCCCCUCCUACACUCUUGCAUGUAUUGAUUUGUAUUCAAUAAGAAUCUCAUGGGCUAAUAUUCAAGUAUAGUCUCAAAUAAUUGCUUAUGUAAUUGAUGUGAAUGUAGUGUCAAUUUAACAAGAAAAGGAAAUGAGAAAUAAAAAAUAAUCACGAUACUAUCCCUUUAUGAAGAUUAGUAUGAGGAAACUAAAUUAAAUCAUUCUAAUCAAUAAUUUAACUUAAAUUGAUUGAUUUUGUUUGAUUUCAAUUAUUACGACAAUUGGGACGAGUUUCGUUUAAACUUAAAUACUAGCCUAGUUGAUCUAGUUGAAUAAAUUGAGAUAUUGUUAUUCAUGAAGUCAAUCUACAUAAAAUCGGCUUAAAAUUUUAGUUGAUAUCUAAUUAUCUAUUUUUUUAAAUAAAAAAAAAGUAAAAAUAAUUCGAAUUCAUUUAAUUUUGCAAAAGGUCCAAAAUCAUUCAUUAUUAAGGUGGAUUUUGCUUGUAAGUCCCUGGGAAAUAUUCUAAAAAAUAUACCGGAAAUUAAGGAGGUGAUCGCCUGCAUCGCGCACACAAAUUAAGCAAGUAGGUAGACCAAUAAAAGUAGAGCAUCAGCAGAAGCCGUGAUGAGGUGUCCCCUAUCGUCACCAGCCGUCAGCCAGCAAUAUGCUUCGCUCUGCUUUGCUUGGCAGUUUCGUUUCAAAAAUAUUGGCCAGAAAGUCAACAGUUAUUAAGUUAAGAAUUAGGAAGAUGAAGAAGAAGAAGAAGAAGCGGACGGGGAAGAAGAAGUGUUGCCCCAGCUGAAGCAUUCCAAUUUCGAUUCCCCCACCCGGGCACCCAAGUGGGGUCCACGCGUUAUUCCGCAUUAAUAAAAUUAUUACUUAUUAUUAUAAUAAUAAUUUUUUUUUUUUGGCCUUUUUAGGCAGAUGUAUUUUUUAAACCCCGUAUAUUACGUUCAAUUUCUACACUCUUCAAUAAAAUAAGAGGAGUGAAAAUGGUGAGGCGGAAGGAUCAGCCGCGGUGAUGUUGACACGUAGAAUGAGCUGAGCCGAAAAGCAAGAUCUGAGUCAGCACAGCGGCGCCUGACAUGGCAACACGUGGGGCGGGGACCACCUCACAACAUCUGACUUGAUUUUUGAUUAGUUUAGGUGACGAUCUGUUGUUGAUUCGGGGGGGAAGGCGUGUUUACAAAUUUAUUUUUAGGCGCAGCUCUGUGGGCAAAAGCCCAUUAGACCAGAGAGGCAGGGAGUUAGUAAACACUGAACGAAGAUUUUCUUCGAGUCGGCGCCGGAAUGUUUUAACUUUAUGCAACUGCCUCCGCGUUAGUUUGGUUUUGUCCGUCAUUCACUUGGAAACAUGCAACAUUUUUUUUUUUUUUUUGACCGGUUUGGCCACCAUACAUGCUUCCUCUAGUUAGCUGUUCUAUAUAUACUGCUUUCUGCAUAUGAAAACGAAUCUGAGUCUCCACUAAUUGUGUUGUAUAUAACAGUCACAUGAGUUAAAUAAAAUCAUCCAAGUGGAUACAUAAGCUGGACACCAUUUCAUUGACUAAGUUUUAAUCCCCUACCUCCCUUAAAUUUUGACUCAGUUGGUCAGAUCUAACCCCAUAUUGUUAUUCAUAAGGAUUUUAGCUAGUGGUGUAAUAUACAAAGCACUAAAAAGUAGUCAAAUUUCCAUGAUAAAUAUAUUUAUUUCAAUUUAUGAUACCCAUUCAAAUAUUUAGACAGAAAAAUAAGUUAGAUCUAUUUUUGAAUAUUUAGCAAGAAGAAAUUGACUUGCAUAAUGCAUAAGUGAAUAAUAAUACACUAGUGAAAAGGAAUAUGAUUUACGACUAAAAAAAUCGAGUAUAAACACGGCGAUAUAAAUGUUAUGAAAUCUAUCAUUUGAUCAGGAGACCUAACACGUCUGAUUGCUAAUUUAAUGCAACUGAAUUUUCAUAUUUGCAUCAUAAUCAAUCGCUCUUGGAGGUGCAUCUAGGAAUUAGAAUUUGCAGAGUGAUUUGGUUUGAACUUUGAAGACAACAAACUUCAGAGGGGUUUUAACAUAUUAAAUAAAAGAAACU
rnacentral:lncRNA from 1 species